CAUGGUGGAAUUAUAUUGCCCUUGGCCAACCCUAAAGCCAUCAAGAUAGCAGCAACUACUCUAUCAUUACUGUACCACCACCUGUAUGGAUCUCGUUGCCCAUAUGAAACUGAGUAAGGAACAAUGUGCAUCACACUCACAGAGAAAGAUGGACAAAAUUAAUGAAGGAUCAUUAUUAAGUUUUUAAUGGGUCAAGAGAAAGUUACCACUGAGGUCUUCUCUACCUGGGCAACAAUUGACUCCUAACAACCACUAUAAGCUUGGAAGAUGAUCCCUCCCCAGCUGAUCCUUCAGGUGAAUUUUUCACAGAGCCAUAGAUAUCUUAUCAUCCUCUGUGGCUUGAAGACUAAUGGCAAUAAAACAUUUCUCAAUAAAGGAGGCUAUACCAU
rnacentral:lncRNA from 10 species